rnacentral:rRNA from 1 species
UGGCGAACGGGUGAGUAACACGUGGGCAAUCUGCCCUGCACUCUGGGACAAGCCUUGGAAACGAGGUCUAAUACCGGAUAUUACCCUUGNCCGCAUGGUCUUGGGUGGAAAGCUCCGGCGGUGCAGGAUGAGCCCGCGGCCUAUCAGCUUGUUGGUGGGGUGAUGGCCUACCAAGGCGACGACGGGUAGCCGGCCUGAGAGGGCGACCGGCCACACUGGGACUGAGACACGGCCCAGACUCCUACGGGAGGCAGCAGUGGGGAAUAUUGCACAAUGGGCGAAAGCCUGAUGCAGCGACGCCGCGUGAGGGAUGAAGGCCUUCGGGUUGUAAACCUCUUUCAGCAGGGAAGAAGCGCAAGUGACGGUACCUGCAGAAGAAGCACCGGCUAACUACGUGCCAGCAGCCGCGGUAAUACGUAGGGUGCGAGCGUUGUCCGGAAUUAUUGGGCGUAAAGAGCUCGUAGGCGGCUUGUCACGUCGGAUGUGAAAGCCCGGGGCUUAACCCCGGGUCUGCAUUCGAU